rnacentral:lncRNA from 1 species
CAUGAGACUAGGACCAGCUUCACUGAAAUAUAAUCUUCCUUAGCCCCACCUUCAGCAAACUCAUUCCAAAAGGCCCAGAGAAGAAACUUCAACUAUGCCGAGCGAAGUCUCAGGUCCAAUGAGGAGAAACAAGACAGUGCAGAAAAUGCCUCUCUCUGAACGAAGGUCUCCUACUGGAAGAACACAGUUCCUCCCAUGGAGACAGUCUCAAGACCUCUUUUGGAACAUUUUGUAUUGCUUGUUUUGAUGCCCAGUUUAUGGAAUUAAAAAUAAAACCUCUCACUGAAAUAUGCAA